rnacentral:lncRNA from 1 species
GCUGCUUUAAUGGUGGCGGUGGCAAGCAGCCUUGGGGCUGCAAUGGUGCUGCGGGUAGGGGCGGAUCCACAUGUAUGGAUGGGAUGCACGUGCACCCGUUAACGUCAAAAAAAUUGUAUGUAUACACGUUGAGAAAUUGGGAUAUAAUUAAUAGUGCACCCUAAGAUUAAUUGUACUGCGCGUUGGUUUGUUGGUUGAAGCCUAUGACGACCAGGGAUCAAACCCUCGGUCGCACAAUAGCUUAUUACUAAAUUUAUAACAACAAAAUUGCUGGACUAGGAAUUCGAACCCGCAACCAAAUCAUAAGGUAAACACUCUCUGGCCG